rnacentral:tRNA from 1 species
UGCCGGAUCAUCUAAUGGUAGGAUGCUUCCCUCUGGAGGAAGUCAUCUUGGUUCGAAUCCAAGUCCGGCAG